GCCAUUGGACCAUGUACAAAUGUACAUUAGUUAUUUUCCUUGGACGACAUUGUUCAAAUAGUCAUUAACAAAGAGAAAUUGUUCAAAUAGACAGAAAUAAAUGAAUAUAUCUGUGGCAGUCAAUACCAUAAUUAAUAUUGUUGGUUGUCUGUAACGUAAGUCUUUGGGCAACAAUAUUUGUGGGUUUCGAGUUUGUUGGCGUGAAGGAAAUGGAAAAUAUCUCAAUUGGUAAAGAAGUAGGGGGAAAACCACUUUUUGUGGCUUUGACAAAUCAGGUGCCAAAGUUGUUGCUUUGUCUCUUGAACGAAGGAAAAAAAUCAAAGGAAAAAUUUAAGACUCAUAUGAAUACAAAAGUAUUACAUGAAUAAUGUAAACAAAAAGAGAAUGUGUGAUUGGGGGGAGAGCAAUCGCCAGCUAGCAAGUGGGAUACAUCUGUCUCUUAGAUUAAACUUCAUUUGAGUGCCUUUAUCAAAAAAGGGCAAUAAAACAUUUGAAUUGGUUACGCCUACUUUAUACAUUUCUUUAUCAUAAAGCCUUUAUGUAGUGCUCCGAAAAUUAUCUUCAAUCUCUUUUUCGACUCCUUAUUUGGUUUGUUCUAAUCUAGAUACACUAUAUAAACAUAAAUUAACAAAGUAUAAGAAAUACUAUAAAUAAUUUGACAAUGACAUAUAGUGCUAGGUGUUAGCCACUCUUACACUUGUUAGUUUUGAGACUUUAAAAUGUAUAAAUGCAAGAGAUGAGUCUUUGAAAUCCUAUAUCGAUUUAAGGUUUACAUUCUAGUUGUCAAGAUUGAGAGUGGAGGCCUGGAGGGUAAGAACACAUUAACACUACAAUGAUAAGAUUUUAAAUAUGCUAGAAUGAAUUUCCCGGAUGUGAUAGUGCUUGGGGCUCUUUUCUCCAAACAAGAAGUCAUGGAUGUCGUUUGGUUAUCCGAGAAAUUAGAUCUUCCUCGAGUCAUCGAAAACUAACGACCGAUGGAGUCAGCCCGCAUGGAGUGUGUUGUGGAAGGUUGGCUGGUUAUAGAAGACAAGUUAUUUACAAAACCGAGUAGCGGCAACCGUUGCUAAUUAUCAUCAAGCUUCUUACACUUCAGCUUAAUCAUGCAUCGUACAUGGAGCAAUGGACAUAGUAUGAAAGUAAUGAUUAAAGAGUUUUAAAAUCUUAAAGUACUACAAGUGCAUAGAAUAUCAAAGUAAUAUUUUUGUGGCCCAACCUCAUUGAAAUUAUAUAUAUGAAAGUUGUCUAAUUCUCUCAAUGUGAGUGUCAUAUCGUCAGAAGCCGCCACAUGUCAUCACCAUAAAUUUAUUAAAAACAUUUAUGUUAAAAACUCAUUAAAUUAUCUUAUGUUUAAAAUCUGAAAUAAUUGCGGUAAUCGAUGCGUUUUAUCAAGGUCGGCCCAAGAUAAAUUGCUUGCAAAAUUUAUUUUUGACCAGUCAUUGAACACAUUUUUUAAAAAAUUAUAUAAAAAAUAUAAUAAAGAGAAUUGAACCUGGCAUCUAUGAGGAGAGAAUGAAAGAGUAACCACUCUAUCACAAUAGAUUUUUGAAAAAUGAUACCGUUAAAUUGUUUUAUAGAUAUUUGCUGCCUAAAAUCCUUUCUUUACGGGCUCUAUCCUUGGGCUAUUCCCAAACCCAAUUUUUUGUUUUUCCCACGUUAACCCAACCCAAAAUUUUGGGCCUAAAUAUUAUAAAUGCCCAAUAAAUACUAACACUCUCACACAUUAUUCACGAGAGAAACCAACAACUCUCAACACUUAGAAAAAUCUGAAACCCUAGCCUCCUCUCUUCAUCCCUUCAUCUCUUUGUCUCUUCAUCGUCACAUCUCUUCACCAUUGAACUGCCAUGGCUUCCUCCAGCCGACAGCAGGACCGCCGGCAUCCACGAAACUCUGGCUCGGGUCCGGCAGGUACGUUUUCUUCGUCUCUUCUUCUCCUUCUCGAUUUUUUGUUAGAUCUGAUGUUAUUGUGGAUGUUUAGGACUGUCUAGGAUUCAAUUAGUCUAUGCCUUUUCUCGAUUUUCUCUUUGUUCGAUUUCACUCUUUGUCUAGGGUUAUAGAUCUUUUGUUUAUGAUUUGUACUUGUUUCUGAUUUUUUUGCAAGAGCUAAACCAUCGAACGGUACCUCCUGGAGCUGUACCAAAUGGAACUGUACCACCAGGAGCCACUCCAUCUCCAAGCGCUACGUCGUCACAUGCAAACAACUGCAGCCAAAGAACUCUUGAUGCAUUGCUGAGUGCUCCUGAAAGAGACUCCCAGCCACACCUGCACCCAAGGAAGCUUAAUGGAGCUUUAUGGUUUGGUGUUGACCCCUCUGUCUACAAAUUCAUUCGCACAACAUGGCAAAGCAAUUUCAUGGGACCAUGGAAGAACUGGUGAUA